UGGGCGUAAAGCGCACGCAGGCGGUCUGUCAAGUCGGAUGUGAAAUCCCCGGGCUCAACCUGGGAACUGCAUUCGAAACUGGCAGGCUUGAGUCUUGUAGAGGGGGGUAGAAUUCCAGGUGUAGCGGUGAAAUGCGUAGAGAUCUGGAGGAAUACCGGUGGCGAAGGCGGCCCCCUGGACAAAGACUGACGCUCAGGUGCGAAAGCGUGGGGAGCAAACAGGAUUAGAUACCCUGGUAGUCCACGCCGUAAACGAUGUCUACUUGGAGGUUGUGCCCUUGAGGCGUGGCUUCCGGAGCUAACGCGUUAAGUAGACCGCCUGGGGAGUACGGCCGCAAGGUUAAAACUCAAAUGAAUUGACGGGGGCCCGCACAAGCGGUGGAGCAUGUGGUUUAAUUCGAUGCAACGCGAAGAACC
rnacentral:rRNA from 2 species